UACGUAGGGUGCGAGCGUUGUCCGGAAUUAUUGGGCGUAAAGAGCUUGUAGGCGGUUUGUCGCGUCUGCUGUGAAAUUUCGGGGCUCAACCCCGAACUUGCAGUGGGUACGGGCAGACUAGAGUGUGGUAGGGGAGACUGGAAUUCCUGGUGUAGCGGUGAAAUGCGCAGAUAUCAGGAGGAACACCGAUGGCGAAGGCAGGUCUCUGGGCCACUACUGACGCUGAGACACGAAAGCGUGGGUAGCAAACAGG
rnacentral:rRNA from 1 species